rnacentral:rRNA from 1 species
GAAAAUACUCGAGGGAUCGCACUGUCGAGGUGCGAUCGUUGACGAUUUGAUUCCGGGACUCGURGGCGUCCCUCCCCCGCGAGGGGGAGAGGCGUCGGGGUGCACCGG